rnacentral:rRNA from 1 species
UCAGACGAUGCGUCAUGCAUAUCAAUAAGCGGAGGAAAAGAAACUAACUAGGAUUCCCUUAGUAACGGCGAGUGAAGCGGGAAGAGCUCAAAUUUGAAAUCUUAAAGGUUUUCCCUUGACGAAUUGUAGUUUAAAGAAGUGUUUUCUGCUGAAGUUUUGGUAAAAGUUCUUUGGAAUAGGACAUCAUAGAGGGUGAGAGUCCCGUAUUUGACCAUUAUUUUCAGCUUUGUGAUACACUUUCAAAGAGUCGGAUUGUUUGGGAAUGCAGUCCAAAAUGGGUGGUAAAUUUCAUCUAAAGCUAAAUAUUGGCGAGAGACCGAUAGCGAACAAGUACCGUGAGGGAAAGAUGAAAAGAACUUUGAAAAGAGAGUUAAAUAGUACGUGAAAUUGUCAAAAGGGAAGCGUUUAACACCAGUGUUGUUUUCUGAAAAUCAACCUCUGUUAGCUUUAUGCAUGUUUGUUUAGACCUAAUCAGCUCUCUUGCAUGUUCUAUUGUUUGCAGUGGUGCACUUUUCAGUUUACAGGUCAACAUCAGUUUUUUUUACCGUAAAAAAGUUAAAGAAAGGUAGCUCAUGGCUCCGGUCGUGAGUGUUAUAGUCUUUUUCCUAUGCGGUAGGAGAGACUGAGGUCUGCAGUGUAGGCUAUUUGGCUAGAUACUCAGGUGCUAUGUGAUACCAUUUCAUAAACAACUUGUUGAUUAUGUUUUGUCUAUUGCAUACUCGCUUGUACUAUCAUACCUACGCUUAGGAUGUUGACUGAUAUGUAGUCGUA